GACUUUCCCUCUCGGGAUCCGCGCCCCGACCAAGUUCCAGCCGCACUUCCGGGGUCCGCGGGCGACUGAAACGUCAUUGCGCAUGCGACGGCGGCGGCGACCACCCGGAAGUGGGCGGAGCGUGCUCGCUGGGGUGGUUCCUGCGGAGCUAGGUGGGCUGGGAGAGCCAGGCCUGUGGGAGAGACUGCAAUGGUCCCACCAACAUACCUGUAAGGAUAUUUCUGUGAAAUAAGAUUCAGCCAAUACAUGCAUCAGAGCCCUCAGCUAUGUAUAAGGCAACCAAUAUGUGUUAUAAUGAUGAUUCACUAAAGAUAAUAUUUCAUUCAGUAUUUCUGGUAAGAAGGGAAAAGGAGAGAAGAUGAUAUGAUGGAAGGAUGGAGGGGUGCUGUAAUUUUUUUUCGAACAGGAAUAUGAAUGUUUUCUAAUGGGAGGCAUUUAAAUGCCUUAGUUGAAGAUUGAUUCAAAGAAAAGCUCUCUUUUGGAUUCAUCUCAACAUCUAUCAGGUGGUAUUAUUUUUCCAAUAGUCUUUACACUUUCGAAAGAGCUUAUGUCCAACCUAUAAUUAUUUUCUGCUAAUUAGAGUAAUUCAUGGUUAAUUAUUCAAAAUGAUUCCUCUUCAAAAUCAAAUCCAUUUCUUGUCAUGACAUUAAAAAAAGAUACAAAUAAAAUAUUAUCAGAAUGCAAAUUUCUGUCAGAAGGGAGUACUUUUUAAAAAAUUUUCUUUAAAUAGCAUUAAAAUCUUUUUCUACCAGCAAAGGCUCCAUGAUUGCCUACUUCAAUUAAUGUGAACUAGAGUAGGGCAACUGAACCAUGAAGUGGUGACUGUCAAUGUUUUUGAUAAUUACUAAAGAUUAGUUAUAUUGACCAUAUUGGAGUAAGUAAUUUACCAUAUCCUUAAGGAAGAGUUGCAAAGCAGUAAGACCUAAAUGGGGUAAGGGCAAACAGUGAAUAUGUUAGCUUGCGACCCUGGAUUUCUAAAGAUGUACAUUGCAGAUGUAUGGCUCUUUGUGGAUUCUUGUUUAGCUGGUAUUGUCCUGGUCCUGCUUCCUCAAGAGGCAGCUCCCUUCCCCUAGUAUUUCCUAGGGAAACCUAGGAGCUCUCUUUCUAGUCGAGGAUCAUGCUUUGCCUGGAUUGGGACCAAUACCCCACUCUGAUCUCACUCUACAUUUAGCUUUAUUCCAAUUAUUAUUUUUUUUUAUUCCAAUUAUUGUAUGAAUUUCAACUGUCUUUCCUGAGAGGGUAAGGUUC